rnacentral:rRNA from 1 species
AGGGAUCCCGCAUGGGACUAUUUGUUAAAGAUUUAUUGGUUAUGGAUGGGCAUGCGUUCCAUUAGUUAGUUGGUAAGGUAACGGCUUACCAAGACUUCGAUGGAUAGGGGUUCUGAGAGGAAGGUCCCCCACACUGGUACUGAGACACGGACCAGACUCCUACGGGAGGCAGCAGUGAGGAAUAUUGGUCAAUGGGCGAGAGCCUGAACCAGCCAAAUCGCGUGAAGGAUGACGGUAUUAUGUAUUGUAAACUUCUUUUGUUAGGGAAUAAAGUGCGGGACGAGUCCUGUUUUGUAUGUACCUAACGAAUAAGCAUCGGCUAACUCCGUGCCAGCAGCCGCGGUAAUACGGAGGAUGCGAGCGUUAUCCGGAUUUAUUGGGUUUAAAGGGUGCGUAGGUGGUUUUUUAAGUCAGUGGUGAAAGUUUGCAGCUUAACUGUAAAAUUGCCAUUGAAACUGGGAGACUUGAGUUCGAACGAGGUAGGCGGAAUUCGUAGUGUAGCGGUGAAAUGCAUAGAUAUUACGAAGAACUCCGAUAGCGCAGGCAGCUUACCAGGCCGCGACUGACACUGAAGCACGAAAGUGUGGGUAUCAAACAGGAUUAGAUACCCUGGUAGUCCACACAGUAAACGAUGAUAACUAGCUGUUUGCGAUAUACAGUAAGCGGCACAGCGAAAGCGUUAAGUUAUCCACCUGGGGAGUACGCCGGCAACGGUGAAACUCAAAGGAAUUGACGG